rnacentral:lncRNA from 1 species
UAAGCUGUGUUGAAUUCUAAGUUUGGGGUAAACCCCAUAAGUAUCAAAAACCAAGGUGAGUACGAAAAAAAAAAAAGAAAAAAAUGACAAAUAUAAUCGAUGGUUUGAAGGAAGCACUCACCGAAGGAAGAUCACUCAGUUGGAAAAAAAAAGAGAAUAUCAUAAAAAACUGAGCAAUUGAAAAAGAAAAGAAUAAAACAUAGUGGAAAGAAUAUUAACAU